GACGAACGCUGGCGGCGUGCUUAACACAUGCAAGUCGAACGGAAAGGCCCUGCUUUUGUGGGGUGCUCGAGUGGCGAACGGGUGAGUAACACGUGAGUAACCUGCCCUUGACUUUGGGAUAACUUCAGGAAACUGGGGCUAAUACCGGAUAGGAGCUCCUGCUGCAUGGUGGGGGUUGGAAAGUUUCGGCGGUUGGGGAUGGACUCGCGGCUUAUCAGCUUGUUGGUGGGGUAGUGGCUUACCAAGGCUUGGACGGGUAGCCGGCCUGAGAGGGUGACCGGCCACAUUGGGCCUGGGGUACGGCCCAGACUCCUACGGGAGGCAGCAGUGGGGAAUAUUGCACAAUGGGCGGAAGCCUGAUGCAGCAACGCCGCGUGCGGGAUGACGGCCUUCGGGUUGUAAACCGCUUUCGCCUGUGACGAAGCGUGAGUGACGGUAAUGGGUAAAGAAGCACCGGCUAACUACGU
rnacentral:rRNA from 1 species